CCUAAUACAUGCAAUGUCGAGCGAACCAAUAAGAAGCUUGCUUUUUGUUGGUUAGCGGCGGACGGGUGAGUAACACGUGGGUAACCUGCCUGUAAGACCGGGAUAACUCCGGGAAACCGGUGCUAAUACCGGAUAGAUUAUCUUUCCACCUGGAGAGAUAAGGAAAGAUGGCUUUUGCCAUCACUUACAGAUGGGCCCGCGGCGCAUUAGCUAGUUGGUGAGGUAACGGCUCACCAAGGCGACGAUGCGUAGCCGACCUGAGAGGGUGAUCGGCCACACUGGGACUGAGACACGGCCCAGACUCCUACGGGAGGCAGCAGUAGGGAAUCUUCCGCAAUGGACGAAAGUCUGACGGAGCAACGCCGCGUGAGCGAAGAAGGUCUUCGGAUCGUAAAGCUCUGUUGUUAGGGAAGAACAAGUAUCGGAGGAAAUGCCGGUACCUUGACGGUACCUGACGAGAAAGCCACGGCUAACUACGUGCCAGCAGCCGCGGUAAUACGUAGGUGGCAAGCGUUGUCCGGAUUUAUUGGGCGUAAAGCGCGCGCAGGCGGUCCUUUAAGUCUGAUGUGAAAUCUUGCGGCUCAACCGCAAGCGGUCAUUGGAAACUGGGGGACUUGAGUGCAGAAGAGGAAAGCGGAAUUCCACGUGUAGU
rnacentral:rRNA from 1 species